rnacentral:lncRNA from 1 species
GUGGUUUCAAAUGGCAAUGUGCAAAUGUAUAAUUUGUCAGUAACAUUGAAGACUGUAUUUUUCAGAUGAAACUUAAACAAUAAUCCAACGAAUACAUGUCACUCAUUUGCAAAGCUCAAUACCAUUUUGUAAAUAUGCCUUUACCUAUAUGUAAAGAAUGGCAAUGCAUCUGAAUUUAUAUAAGAACUUGAAGAGUUAGAAUCUAAGACAUACAAAAAACACAAACACCAGAUAUAAACUAUAGGACAAGGCUAUCUAUGUGUGAUUUGGAUUUUGACAAUGGCAGCAAUAUACAAUACAGGAGAUAACAAAAACUUUUGGACAAAGCAUAACCAUACACAACAAUUUCUAGCAUUUUCUUAUUGUCAUCCUGUCUAGGGCAUAGUUAUUUUUAUCACUUCUAAUCGGGUCAGAAUAAUAAAAAAAAACAAUUUUGAGUUAUCUCCCUUUGUAUAUACUUCAAUAAAAGAAAC